rnacentral:rRNA from 1 species
GAUGAACGCUAGCGAUAGGCCUAACACAUGCAAGUCGAGGGGCAUCACAUGAAGUAGCAAUACGGAUGGUGGCGACCGGCGCACGGGUGAGUAACACGUAUGCAACCUGCCUUCAACAAGGGGAUAACCCGUUGAAAGACGGACUAAUACCCUAUAACACAGGGGUCCCGCAUGGGAAUAUUUGUUAAAGGACAACCGGUUGAAGAUGGGCAUGCGUUCCAUUAGCUAGUUGGCGGGUAACGGCCCACCAAGGCAACGAUGGAUAGGGGAACUGAGAGGUUUAUCCCCCACACUGGUACUGAGACACGGACCAGACUCCUACGGGAGGCAGCAGUGAGGAAUAUUGGUCAAUGGACGGCAAGUCUGAACCAGCCACGUCGCGUGAAGGAAGACGGCCCUACGGGUUGUAAACUUCUUUUAUACGGGAAUAAAGUGCCCCACGCGUGGGGUUUUGCAUGUACCGUAUGAAUAAGGAUCGGCUAACUCCGUGCCAGCAGCCGCGG